rnacentral:rRNA from 1 species
GACGAACGCUGGCGGCGUGCUUAACACAUGCAAGUCGAACGGAAAGGCCCUGCUUUUGUGGGGUGCUCGAGUGGCGAACGGGUGAGUAACACGUGAGUAACCUGCCCUUGACUUUGGGAUAACUUCAGGAAACUGGGGCUCAUACCGGAUAGGAGCUCCUGCUGCAUGGGGGGGGUUGGAAAGUUUCGGCGGUUGGGGAUGGACUCGCGGCUUAUCAGCUUGUUGGUGGGGUAGUGGCUUACCAAGGCUUUGACGGGUAGCCGGCCUGAGAGGGUGACCGGCCACAUUGGGACUGAGGUACGGCCCAGACUCCUACGGGAGGCAGCAGUGGGGAAUAUUGCACAAUGGGCGGAAGCCUGAUGCAGCAACGCCGCGUGCGGGAUGACGGCCUUCGGGUUGUAAACCGCUUUCGCCUGUGACGAAGCGUGAGUGACGGUAAUGGGUAAAGAAGCACCGGCUAACUACGUG